GCCUGGCCGAGGAGGCAGCACCUCGCCUCUGACCUCUGGGAACAAGGUCCCUCCUUCCUGUUCACAGCCCGGGGACGUGUCUUGUCCCCGAACACAAGUCCAAAUUCACGGUGACACAUUGUUAAGUGGAGUCUUCAUGGCCUGAGGACAGAAGACAGGCUGCUGUCACCAGGCUGGCGCUGGUGAUGACCGCAGUGGCGCACAAUCUUUCCCACGGAGCGAACGUAGCCUUACAAUCGCAGGAGCGUCUGAACUGCAGGUUAUAUGUGCUUCUUGUCACAGAGGAGUGUGAAGCACAGUCAACGCUGACUUCCAGUUGUUUUACAGAACAUGAGC